ACACAGUCUCAAAAAUUUUACCUCUUAUGUGCACUUUCUCAGGAGUCUGUGCUCUGCCCAAAGAAGAAAACUAAGAGAGAGAAAGACGCAGAAUCCAGGAAAAAAGAAAUCCCAUGCAAAAGCCGGAAAGAAGACCCCAAAAUAAUAGCUAAGCUUCAGCCAGUCCAGAUGUGGGAAGUCGGAAGGCUCAUGGGAGAAUUUAUUUAGGAGGAUGAAAUUGAUGUUUAAUAUAGUGGUGGAAGUAUGGAGGCAAAUAUCCUAAGAAUCAGUUAAAACGGCUGAAUGUGGCUGCCUCUGGGGAACAAAAAUUGGAAAGAGCAUCAGCUACCUCCUGAAUCACUGCCCAGUUGCCAGCUGCAAGUCCCAGCUCCAAAAACCGAUAUUCAUGGAAAUGUGCUUAGAAUGCCAUCACUGUUGGUUUCUGCUUAAUCCUCUGGGGCCAGAUUGCCUGGAUUUCAAUCAGUGGUGUGCUGGAACCUCCUGAAACAGGCUGUGGCAAGGCAAAGGACGGAUGACUGAAAUGAGUUGACAACAAUUAAGAAAUAAAAGAAAAGUGACAGCUGGAUUUACGACCUUCAGGAAUUUAACAUUUUCUAGACAUUUGUGUAUGACAUUUGACGUGGUAAUACCCAGAGUUCUCAGAGCUAUAGGAGAUUUUUGUGUGUUUUAGCUAUGAAAGAACUAUCUGUCUCAAAAGGAAAAACAUAGAGUGAAAACUAUGACUAGGAAAGUAGAGAAUGAAGG